rnacentral:rRNA from 1 species
AGUGAACGCUGGCGGCAGGCCUAACACAUGCAAGUCGAACGGCAGCACAGUAAGAGCUUGCUCUUACGGGUGGCGAGUGGCGGACGGGUGAGGAAUACAUCGGAAACUACUUUUUCGUGGGGGAUAACGUAGGGAAACGUACGCUAAUACCGCAUACGACGUACGGGUGAAAGCAGGGGUUCUUCGGACCUUGCGCGAGUGAAUGAGCCGAUGUCGGAUUAGCUAGUUGGCGGGGUAAAGGCCCACCAAGGCGACGAUCCGUAGCUGGUCUGAGAGGAUGAUCCGCCACACUGGAACUGAGACACGGUCCAGACUCCUACGGGAGGCAGCAGUGGGGAAUAUUGGACGAUGGGCGCAAGCCUGAUCCAGCCAUACCGCGUGAGUGAAGAAGGCCUUCGGGUGGUAAAGCCCUGUUGUUGGGAAAGAAAAACAGCAGUUUUAUCCCCCGCUGUUCUGACGGUACCCAAAGAAUAAGCACCGGCUAACUUCGUG